ensembl:snoRNA
UGCACUUGCCUUUGGUUUUGGUUAGCUCAUAGAGACUUAGACAAGUGGGAAAAACAAAUCCUCUUUUGCAACCCAGAACUCAUUGUUCAAUGGGAGUUUUGAUACAGGUGAGAAGGAACAUG